AUUUCAUCAGAUCGGUUCAUACCUAGCAGGAGUAGAAGAAGCUGAAGUUCAAUAGUCUAGCUAAUAAUCUAGGUCAUCUCUCUCUCUCUCUCUCUCAUUUUUUAUUUCUGAUUCUAAUGUUGUGAAGUUUUCUAUGCAGUGUUUUGAAUUCUUAUUUCAUCAGAUCUGUUUAAAUCUAGCUGGAGAAGUAGAAAGACUCAAACAAGUUCAAGAAACCUUCCAACGACAAAUUGCUGGAUACAUUGAUUGAUUCAUAUAGGUUUUAGUAAUCUAGGUAUUUUCAUCCUUUUUUAAAAAAAAUUAUUUUAUUGAUCAUUGAAUUUCUUGAGAUAUUCACAGAUUUAUAUUAUUAUAUAUGGAUUGAUUGGUUGAUUAUGGUCAUUGACUCAUUGUAUCUUCUAUUUUGUUGCAAACGUUUUUACUUGAAGUAAAAAAAACAGAUCACAACACAAUUUGUUCUAUUUUGAUUGAUAGAAUAUGGUCAUUGUAUGUCUAUUUUGUUGCGAUUUUGUUACUUAAAGUUAAUCUGGUGGUUUAGUUUUAAAGACUUUGUGAAGAAAUAGAUCACAACACCAUGCCUCACUAGAUUGUAAAUUUAAUUACAAAACAUAUAGGGAUAUUUCAAUGCGUUUUGUAAAAUUAACAUUCAAAACACUUGGGGACAGAAGAACCUAAUUUGGAUCUUGUCGGUUUGUAAUUAACACUGUACGUAUUAGGGCAAAUCGAUCUGCUUAUAUUAGUAAUAACAUGACAAAACCUAGAUUGGGGAAUCUUUCUAUAUUGUUGUGGGUGAAAAGGAUCAAUAGAUGACGUGAUUGCAUGGGAUGGGAUGCAUGGUAUGAAACGACAAGAAUGUCAGACUUGAUGCUCAAACUAAUUAGAUUAAUGUGGACGAUACCCCCUGUCCUGUGAAGGAAGAAUGUUGAGAUUGUACUAGGUAAUGCGUUAUCGGUUUUUAUUGAAUUGAUCACAUCUUCUGAUAUAUUAUAUAUAUAAUAUAGGUUUGAUGAUGAAUGAAAUUCUGGAGCAAACUGUGGACUAUUACUAAGCAGGUUUUCAUACUUAAGAUCAUAAAACAACUCAUGGAUGUCGGCCAGGAACAGAAGUAUUAACUAAAUCAAUAAGGUGUAUAAGAUGUAAUUCCUUGAAAUUUAAAGCUUCACCUUGCAUCAUGAAUGUCUCUUACUAUCAUUGUGGUUUUGUUUGGAUAACUCAAUCAAUACAAUGCAGUUAGUACCAAAAUAAAGGUUUGACCACCGCUGCACAUUGCAGAUGAAUACUUAGAAGUUAGAACUAAGACAUAGGUGCUCCAGAUAGUCAGUUAGUCACUUAUUGAUUUCUAUCCCACCUCUCGAAGACCUAACUCCUAAGCCACCUACGUACCCAAAGAAUGAAUGUGACGUACAUUUGAAUGAAAUAUCUGCAAUAUGUGAUUUAUUGCAGUACAUUACGUGGUGUGCAUAUAGGUUGAUAAUAUCUUGUAAUUCAACUUUCAUUCUUCAACUUGCCAGGGUAUACCUUUGAACCUAGUAAUUUCAACUUCACCUCUAACACACAAAAUAGUUUAUGUGACUCGAACCACACUUACGUACAAGUACAACUGAUUCUUUGCAAUCUAAGGAGGCAAGUUUGAUUUGAUAUAGUACCAACUAAGUGGGGAUAGUUUAGUACCUAUUCGCAAUCUCAUAUUUAUAUGUGGUCAUAAUGGCAAAUGAUUUCAGCUGUUCUGACUUCUGAGUGUUGUGGAUUGAAAUAUGAAGCUUUGAAUGCUUAAGUUAGUAUCCCUUUGAUUUUCUAUUUUUCAGUUUUUGGCUUUUUGUACUUAUCUCUCAAAGUAAACACAAGACCAGUGAAGUCAAGUAAUUAAUUAUAAAAAAUAUAUAUAUAAUUAUCAUCUCCUUUUCUUCUUGCCCUUCACAUUCCUCAUAAAAUCAUCUAUCGAUCAUCACGAUAUAAUAAUACAUUGAAAAACAAAAGAACAAAAAACUUCUAAAAAUUUGUGAGGCAAAUUGCUGAAGCCAAGUUUGUGAGGUAAUUCUGAUGCUUUUUCUUACUACAAUACAUGUAAAGUGAUAUUAAGUAAUGAUACUGCACACAUUGUGUCGGCACAAGCUCACAAUCACAUUUACAUAUAAAAUUAGUACGGCAUAAUGUUUUCACUUCUUAUGUUAGUUGUGUGCUAAUUGGAGUUUGUUGUUAUCACAUUUCUGUUGUUUAUAUAUAAAUGGUCCCACUUUUUAUACAUAAAGUUCUUGAUUAAAUUAGGUCCAAAAAUGUUUUCGCUUCAUAUGUCAGUUGCUUCCUUAUUUGAGUUGUUAUCACAUUUCUGUUGUUUAUCUACAGUCAGGGACGGAUCCAGGAAUCUGAGUUGGGGGGUGCAGAGUAACAUGUAACCUAUAUAUUAAAAUCUUGGGGGGUGCGAUUCUUUAUAGUUUUGCAAAAAAUUCUAUAUAUAUAGAAGGAUCAUAGUAGAAUUUAGGAAAAAAAUUGAACUUUGGGGGGUGCGGUCGCACCCCCGCGCACCCCCCUGGAUCCGUCUAUGUCUACAGUUGGAUCCACUCCUUAUUUAACAUAAAGUCGUUGAUUAGAUUAGGUUCAAAGAUAUUUAUGAUGACGAUGAUAUUAUAUCUAGUAUGAGUUUUGUGUUGAUUUAAAUUAUUGUUUCGUGACUGAUAGUAAAGACACACGAUAUGUUUCUAUAUGUGGUCAACAGAGUUAUCGCAAAACGACGCUCCUUUGAAAGUUUAACGACUGACCAUGAAACUUGGGUUUCAUUCGGAUCUUGUGUGGUAGAUGGAUUUCAAGAUCUAGGUCGUAGAAUCAGUAAAAAUGAGAUUAAUGGAUUAACAGUAAUUAGAAAGAGCAUACAUGGUAUACGAUUUUAAACAUCAUUGUUCAUAUGUUUGUAACCUAGUAGCAAGUCAUUGUAUGAAAUUGAUUGCAUGCAUUAAAUUAUAAGAAUGACUUCCCAUUUCAAUCCUAAAAAAAAAAAUUGCGAAAAGCAUAUUAUGUAAAUGGUAAGAAAAAUCAUUGCUUAGCGCAUCUUAUGUUGACAAAGCUGUUGUCAUCUGCAUCAAGUGAAACAGUUUGCUCUUUCUACAUGCAUGCCUUGUUUUAUUUUACAUAAAAUCGUACUCACAGACUCUCUUCUUGGAUCUCUUGGCUUACAAAUGUCUUGAUCUCACAGACUCUUCAUCUUAAAUUCGUCGUCUAUUUCAUUUACUUUUAAUUUUUGUCUCACAGUUAUCUUUUAUUCUCCAUAUUAGGCAAGUCAAAGCUGAAGCUGGAAUAAGGCCAUAUUAAGAGUUUACGUGAUCAUCCACAGCCGAGUCAGCCAAAGAAAAAAAUUAGGUAUAUAACAAAAUCAUUUGAAAGAGAUUGGAAGUCUCUAUGUAGAUGCGGGCGAGAAAUAGAUGUCCUCAUGUCCAUGGAAGAAACACACAUUGUGAAGCAGAUAUUGAACAUGCAGAUCAAACAUAGAAAGGAAGAG
rnacentral:lncRNA from 1 species